rnacentral:rRNA from 1 species
UACGUAGGGUGCAAGCGUUGUCCGGAAUUAUUGGGCGUAAAGAGCUCGUAGGUGGCCUGUCGCGUCGGCUGUGAAAACUCGGGGCUCAACCCUGAGCCUGCUUCCGAUACGGGCAGACUAGAGGUAUGCAGGGGAGAAUGGAAUUCCUGGUGUAGCGGUGAAAUGCGCAGAUAUCAGGAGGAACACCGGUGGCGAAGGCGGUUCUCUGGGCAUUACCUGACGCUGAGGAGCGAAAGUGUGGGGAGCGAACAGG